GGGCUGCCAUAACCAAAUGCCGCAGCCUGGGUGGCUUCAACAGAAUUUCAUUUCCCCACAGUCCUGGGAGCUGGAAGCCCAAGGUCCAGGCGCUAUCUUCCAAUUCAGCCAUUCGGAGGUCUUGGCGGUUGAAACUUCAAGACAGGAAUUUGGAGUGAGGACACAGUUCAUUCCAUACACAAAGACAGGAGCGGCUUCAUCCAGAACCCGGAAGGUCUGUCCCUCUACAGAAACCCAGAUCUAAUCGUGUCGCAUCCCACACCAGGAAUUUCCAAACUUUGAUGCCAUUACAGUCUGAGAGAGCAUGACUGACGCAAGUGAGCCGGGAGCACAGGCAGGAGCACAGAGCCCAGCUGCCUCCCGCACCCCCUCCACCCACCCCAUCUACAGCUCAUUGCAUUAGCAGCCGCCUCUCGCCCCUCUACCCACGCCAUCUAGAGCCCACUGCGUCAGCCCAGAGGAUAUGUCAUUUGGCAGCAAAGCCUCAUCACAGAUAGAACCAGCUCCUCAGGCACCCUCAUUCCUGGAGAGGCACUUGACGGGGCAGAGCCUGAAGCAGAGUUUCCAGGAAGACAAGAAGGCCAACUUCCCUAGGAACUGCAGAUGGAGGUCCCGCUCAUGUGUUUCUGCGAAUUAAGAUGGGAUCUCACUAUGUUGCCCAGGCUAGAGUGCAUUGGCUAUUCACAGACGAUCAUGAUGCAAUCAUAGUGCACCACAUCCUCAAACUCCUGGACUCAAGUGAUCCUCCCUCCACAGCCUCCCAAGUAGCUGAGACUGCAGGCACACGCCACUGCACCCAGCCCUGGACUAUUAACUUUUAUAUUUUUUAUAUCCAUAGAGUCAGGCAGCUUCUGAUGCAUAGUAACCAUGUAAUAAAUGUUGAAUGAAUAAAUGUGAAUGACCAUA
rnacentral:lncRNA from 1 species